CCUACGGGAGGCAGCAGUGAGGAAUAUUGGUCAAUGGACGAGAGUCUGAACCAGCCAAGUAGCGUGAAGGAUGACUGCCCUAUGGGUUGUAAACUUCUUUUAUAUGGGAAUAAAAUGUUCCACGUGUGGGAUUUUGUAUGUACCAUAUGAAUAAGGAUCGGCUAACUCCGUGCCAGCAGCCGCGGUAAUACGGAGGAUCCAAGCGUUAUCCGGAUUUAUUGGGUUUAAAGGGAGCGUAGGUGGAUUGUUAAGUCAGUUGUGAAAGUUUUCGGCUAAACCGUAAAAUUGCAGUUGAAACUGGCAGUCUUGAGUACAGUAGAGGUGGGCGGAAUUCGUGGUGUAGCGGUGAAAUGCUUAGAUAUCACGAAGAACUCCGAUUGCGAAGGCAGUUCACUGGACUGCAACUGACACUGAGGCUCGAAAGUGUGGGUAUCAAACAGGAUUAGAUACCCCUGUAGUC
rnacentral:rRNA from 1 species